GCGAGAGUGGUGGAAUUGGUAGACACGCUAGAUUUAGGAUCUAGUGCUUCGCGGCGUGGGGGUUCGAGUCCCCCCUCUCGUA
rnacentral:tRNA from 1 species